UGGCGGACGGGUGAGUAACGCGUGGGUAACCUGCCUUACACAGGGGGAUAACACCUGGAAACAGGUGCUAAUACCGCAUAAGCGCACAGGGCCGCAUGGCCCGGUGUGAAAAACUCCGGUGGUGUAAGAUGGACCCGCGUCUGAUUAGCUUGUUGGCGGGGUAGGGGCCCACCAAGGCGACGAUCAGUAGCCGGCCUGAGAGGGUGGACGGCCACAUUGGGACUGAGACACGGUCCAAACUCCUACGGAAGGCAGCAG
rnacentral:rRNA from 1 species